GAGGCGAAUUCGGUGAUCCUCUGCUGCCAAGAAAAGCCUCUAGCGAGCACACACACGGCCCGUACCCCAAACCGACACAGGUGGUCAGGUAGAGCAUACCAAGGCGUACGAGAUAACUAUGGUUAAGGAACUCGGCAAAAUGCCCCCGUAACUUCGGGAGAAGGGGGACCGGAAUAUCGUGAACACCCUUGCGGUGGGAGCGGGAUCCGGUCGCAGAAACCAGUGAGGAGCGACUGUUUACUAAAAACACAGGUCCGUGCGAAGUCGCAAGACGAUGUAUACGGACUGACGCCUGCCCGGUGCUGGAAGGUUAAGAGGACCCGUUAACCCGCAAGGGUGAAGCGGAGAAUUUAAGCCCCAGUAAACGGCGGUGGUAACUAUAACCAUCCUAAGGUAGCGAAAUUCCUUGUCGGGUAAGUUCCGACCUGCACGAAUGGCGUAACGACUUCUCAACUGUCUCAACCAUAGACUCGGCGAAAUUGCACUACGAGUAAAGAUGCUCGUUACGCGCGGCAGGACGAAAAGACCCCGGGACCUUCACUACAACUUGGUAUUGAUGUUCGGUACGGUUUGUGUAGGAUAGGUGGGAGACUGUGAAACCUCGACGCCAGUUGGGGCGGAGUCGUUGUUGAAAUACCACUCUGAUCGUAUUGGGCAUCUAACCUCGAACCCUGAAUCGGGUUUAGGGACAGUGCCUGGCGGGUAGUUUAACUGGGGCGGUUGCCUCCUAAAAUGUAACGGAGGCGCCCAAAGGUUCCCUCAACCUGGACGGCAAUCAGGUGGCGAGUGUAAAUGCACAAGGGAGCUUGACUGCGAGACUUACAAGUCAAGCAGGGACGAAAGUCGGGAUUAGUGAUCCGGCACCCCCGAGUGGAAGGGGUGUCGCUCAACGGAUAAAAGGUACCCCGGGGAUAACAGGCUGAUCUUCCCCAAGAGUCCAUAUCGACGGGAUGGUUUGGCACCUCGAUGUCGGCUCGUCGCAUCCUGGGGCUGGAGCAGGUCCCAAGGGUUGGGCUGUUCGCCCAUUAAAGCGGCACGCGAGCUGGGUUUAGAACGUCGUGAGACAGUUCGGUCUCUAUCCGCCGCGCGCGUCAGAAACUUGAGGAAACCUGUCCCUAGUACGAGAGGACCGGGACGGACGAACCUCUGGUGCACCAGUUGUCCCGCCAGGGGCACCGCUGGAUAGCCACGUUCGGUCAGGAUAACCGCUGAAAGCAUCUAAGCGGGAAACCUUCUCCAAGAUCAGGUUUCUCACCCACUUGGUGGGAUAAGGCCCCCCGCAGAACACGGGUUCAAUAGGUCAGACCUGGAAGCUCAGUAAUGGGUGUAGGGAACUGGUGCUAACCGGCCGAAAACUUACAACA
rnacentral:rRNA from 1 species